GAUGAACGCUGGCGGCGUGCCUAAUACAUGCAAGUCGAGCGAACGGACGAGAAGCUUGCUUCUCUGAUGUUAGCGGCGGACGGGUGAGUAAAACGUGGAUAACCUACCUAUAAGACUGGGAUAACUUCGGGAAACCGUAGCUAAUACCGGAUAAUAUUUUGAACCGCAUGGUUCAAAAGUGAAAGACGGUCUUGCUGUCACUUAUAGAUGGAUCCGCGCUGCAUUAGCUAGUUGGUAAGGUAACGGCUUACCAAGGCAACGAUGCAUAGCCGACCUGAGAGGGUGAUCGGCCAGACGGGAACUGAGACACGGUCCAGACUCCUACGGGAGGCAGCAGUAGGGAAUCUUCCGCAAUGGGCGAAAGCCUGAUGGAGCAACGCCGCGUGAGUGAUGAAGGUCUUCGGAUCGUAAAACUCUGUUAUUAGGGAAGAACAUAUGUGUAAGUAACUGUGCACAUCUUGACGGUACCUAAGCAGAAAGCCACGGCUAACUACGUG
rnacentral:rRNA from 1 species